CACCGCGGUUAUACGAGAGGCCCAAAUUGAUAGUCUCCGGCGUAAAGCGUGGUUAAGGUAAUUUAAAAACUAAAGCUGAAUAUCUUCAAAGCUGUUAUACGCAUCCGAGGACAAGAAACUCAAUUCACGAAAGUAGCUUUAUAGCCCCUGAACCCACGAAAGCUAUGACA
rnacentral:rRNA from 1 species